rnacentral:tRNA from 1 species
UUCUACCAGCGGCAUGCGGACCGUCGGUGUGACGCCGGAGCGGCCGGCGAGGUGGAGCCGGCGCUGGAGACGCGGGUGUGAUCGGACCGCGUUGACAGGAG